UAGUCGUAAUAAUAAUAAAAGUAAUGAUGUUGAUUAUGAUAUUAUUAAAUACAUGUUGCAUAAUUUUUUCUUUCAUUUUUACAUGUUAUUUACUACUGAUUAUUGACAUAAUGUUAAGCUGGUUUGGGUAACAAUAGAUAAUAUUGCGUAAGCAUAGCCUCACCUAUAAGAUUUGAAAUGUAUUGAUAGUUUAUAAAUAAUUAAAUUGGAAUUUGUCCAUUACCCCUUACUACAAUAAUUAGAAAUCUCUGUAAUCAUGUAUAUAAAUAUAUAGAUAUAUAUAUUUUUAUGAUGAGCAUAGGCAAACAUAUUAAAGAAAACUGAAAAUGUACAAAUGUGGUGAUCUAAUAAAUUCAACGUUUCAGGUGAGCGGGAUGAACCCAAUGUCAUCAGUGCAUGGAGAUCAAAGACCAACAAGGUGAGCGGAAUGAACCCAAUGUCAUGGAGAGCAAGAGCCAACAAGGUAAUGUUUAAAUAAAUGUUACAGUAAGAGACACUGUGGAUAUAGCAAGAGAUGAAGGAAAAGGAAUGUUUUUUUUUUAUGUUAUUUCUUAUUUUAGUUUUGUAAUUUAUUAAAUGGAAAUAUAGAUACUGAAUGUACCUUUAUAGACAGUGGAUUCAGUUAUUAUUAAGGGAUUUAAAGGCCUCUUUUGUUUUAAGUACUACUUGUAUAUCAUGUUAUGAAAAAAAAAGAAGUGUCAAAGCCAGUUUGGAUUAAUUCAUAUCUAUAUAACUAUCUAUUUAAACCAUUUUUAUGUCUAUUGGUUUCUUGCAUCCUGUGUGCUUAAUAUACAAUGCUAAACUAUUGUUUGUUUAAUCAGUAAAUAUAAUAUUUUGCUGUUUUCUUAGAACUGUAAACUUGACAAACAAACAUUUCCAUUACACGCUGUUUUACACUCUAUUAUGAAGGGAUGCAUGACAACUUUGUCAACCUUUUUAAAACUUCUAAUGCUUUGUGAUGCAUUUGAUUUUCUGUGCACUUUGAAUUUGAUUGUUGUUUUAUAGUGCAUUCUAAACUCUUUGGAUCUUAUUAACUAGCUCCUUGACAUUUGUUAAUAUUAUUUGUUUAUAAAAAUAAAGAGAUAUGCCAAAAAAUUGUUUUAAUAUCAUUUAACUAUUCUGGUUAUCCUAUAUUUUACUCAUAAACCAUGUUUUAAGCACAAAGAAUGAAACGAUGGAAAAAGGAUAAUAUCUGUUGUAAAAGAGUAAUACAGAUUACAAUAUUCCUAAAUACAAAAUUCAUAUUAUAAUUGAAAAUCUUGGGGAUAUAUAAAUGAAAAGAGAGAGAAA
rnacentral:lncRNA from 1 species